UACGUAGGGACCAAGCGUUGUUCGGAUUUACUGGGCGUAAAGGGCGCGUAGGCGGCGCGGUAAGUCACUUGUGAAAUCUCUGGCUUAACUCAGAACGGCCAAGUGAUACUGCAGUGCUAGAGUGUGGAAGGGGCAAUCGGAAUUCUUGGUGUAGCGGUGAAAUGCGUAGAUAUCAAGAGGAACACCUGAGGUGAAGACGGGUUGCUGGGCCAACACUGACGCUGAGGCGCGAAAGCCAGGGGAGCAAACGGG
rnacentral:rRNA from 1 species